rnacentral:ncRNA from 1 species
AUGAUGGUUUGGUUGCUUUUCAUUAUAAAUCUUAUGGGGCUUUUUUGAUAUACUGAAAAAGCUCCAUAAUCUCUGUGGUGGAUUUACCCACUAUAGAAAUUAUAGAGCC